GUCUCCUACAGGCUGAACAGACCAAGUGGCCUCAGUGACUCCUCACACGGCUUCUUCCACCAUCUUCACAGCCCUCCAGGAAAGGCUCAGGAAUCUGGAGGAGGUGAAGCCAUGCUCUGUCUGGAGCCCAGCAGCAGCCCCGUGCCGUCUCCUUGCUCCGGCACCUCCAGAUGGAAGCAGGUGUCUGUGACUAAAGCAGGUGACAUCAAUGUGCUGUACAAUGAAAUACUGAUGAAGCAGCUUCUGUUUGCUGCCUGGGUUCCUCAUCUCUCCAUGAGUUCUGGGUAGAGGGACUUGAACAUUCAUGAAAAUGGUGUCACAGAGCCCCCCCUCUCAAGUCCCCUACUCUCAUUUGCUCAGGUUGAUGGAGCCAGACCAAAUUUGUAGAUGGAGAAGUACAGUUUUGUAACCACCUGAAUAGAACAACACAGUGUCUGCUCCCAGCUUGAAGCAUUGUGGGCUGUAGCCCCCUGCUUUAGGAUGUGAUUGCCCAGAUCUACACCUGCAUUGCCUUUGCUCAUGGAAGGAGUGCACCUCCUCACUGAUAACCUGCCAGGUGCCACCUACCAGAGCAUGCAUCUCAGAACCCUGGAAUGCAUGGAAUUAGAUGAAACUGAACAGUAAAAUCUGCUUAAGAGCACUACUAUUGUACUCCAGGUGCUAAAAGAGGCUGUCCAAAGGGCCAGACCUAAGCUAAUCAGAAGGAAAAGUCCCCUGACUGGUUUCAGAGCGUGGACAGCCACAUUCUCCAUAUCAUCCAAAUUGCUCUACACAUCUUCUCCUGCAGAUUUGUCACACCUACAGAUAUUCCAGCAAUAUUCACAAGUGCUGUCAGUGUACAUGCCGCCACUGAGUGCACUCCACAGGCUUGUGAAGCUGCAUCUUCCAAAUCCUAAGAAACUAUUGUAACCUGGAAUGUAGCAGCAAAACAGACCAUCCUCAUGAUGAUUAUUACAACCUUCUUUCCGUUGUCUUUUAUUACAGAUAUCCUUUAAUUUUUUUUAAGUUAAAAUUACUAGCUUUGACAUUUCUAAAAGAUUGUGUCACUUUGUUUCUGCCAGCACUACUCAGAAGAAUAAAUUCCCAGAAAAUCUCCAUUUUCCUAGAAUAGGAUUUCUCAGCUAAUCACAAAUUUACUGACAUAUUUUCCCACUCCUUGUUGUCAUGUCUUAUCACUGACAUGGAUGAAAACUCAGUCCCUGAGCUUUGCUAAAUGCUUUUCUCUCCAUUCAGGGACACUUGUAAAAUACAUACAGCAGCAAAUUACAUUUAACUGCAUUAUUUUAGCCACCUAUACUCUUCCAGCAUAGUUUUGUGUUCACCUGCUAUGCCUCAGUUCCUGCCCCUUUCCCAGAGCUGCUCCAGAUAAUACAGUGCUCUCUUUGUAGUGAGGAGUGUAGGUCAAGGUGGAAAGGGAGGAACAUUCCCCCUUUCCCAUUUUUCAUUCUUUUGCCCCACCUGCAAACAAAACCACACAUGGACAAACACUGGUGAAGGAAAAUUGAGUAGAAGGCCCUUGGGAAGAAGGUAGAUAUUUGGGAAGAGCGAUGAGGAUGUUUCAGCACCUUUGACACCAUCUCUUAUAAUCAGACAGGUAGGGUCUGCUUUGAUGGAGAAGGGAGAAGAGCACAACCUCUGUCCAAAUCUCAUUGAUCCUUCACCAUCCAGCAAAAUAAAACAACACCAUGCUAGGGGCUGGGUGUUGAGAUAUUUGUGUGCUUGGUAUCAGAAAAGGUGAACAUUCACCUCUGCUUCAACAGGCAAAAUAAUUGGGGAAAAAAAUAAAAAACUUGCCAAAAGUUAAAAGACAAAAGGCCCUACAUUUCUUUUUGAAUCUUCUGAAGUCCUGAGACUGCAGCAGACAACUAUACAAGAAAAAUCCCAGAAAAACAAAACAAAACAAAAAAAAAACCCCACCCAAUAACAGCAACCAAACCAAACCAUGACCCAAGAACGCCCCAAGCAAAGCAGGAAAGAUGACUUUCCAAGUUAACAUGACAGUGUUCAUGAACACACAAAAUCAAAACAGUCCAUAGAGCGCCCAAAUAAGAAAACCUUAAAUUGAAAGCAACCAGUGGCAUAAAAAAAUUCAUGACAGAGCUUACUGUUGUGCUGAACACCUACAUUUAGUCAAAUACACAAUAAAGCAAGAAAUCCCCCCUCAGCCAGCACCAAACUGUAGAGAGAACUAAUUAUUAACAUGCUUAUGAAGUUAGGAAAGAACAGUUUAAUUACAGAUUUUUGUCAAAUCUCUCAGGCAACACAUCUUUCAAUUUUGUUGCUUAGUUGCGCAAUCCUAAGUUUAAUUAAUAUUCUUAGAUGCCUUGUUAAACAAGAAAUUGAAGCACCACAAGUAAGAACAACUCUAAAUGAUAUUAUUAACUGUGCAGCAAUUAUUCUAAUAGACAUUGCUGCACAUGUACCAACAGUGUAAAUCUUCCUAAAAUUUGGGAAACAAAAGGAAUUAAAUAGAGUUGUUUGUGGUUGCUCCAUCAGACAUAUGGCAGUCAUUUGGGUUCAAGAAGGUAAGAGAGGGGUGAGAACUUGGUUUAUGUUCAGAUGUUAAUGGGGGGGUUGUCAUAUUUUUUUAGUUUGCAAUGCCAAAGUAUGAUACUACCCAUAUGAGAUGAGAUACUGCCAGUUUUUCUAGUUCUUCACAAGGCUGAUGUUGAGUUGGACUAUCCCAUCAAGAGUAAAUACAAUUAGACUCACUUCAAAGCCAUCACUUCUGUCACUGUCACUUUUCUACUAGCCUCAGAUUAACAGUGCUGCAGACAAGAGGUGGUGUGCAAACACACACACACACACACAAUCAACAGUCAAAGAACUAUGCAAAAUCACACUACAGCUGUUAAAAAAACCCAAAACCCAAAAAUCCCCAAAAGCCCUCUGCCCAUCAGAAAGGUCACUGUUAUGAGCUUUUUCAUAACUGACAACUCCUUGAUUUCCAGACUAAAAAAACCCAUCCCCCACAAAAAGAACAACACAUGCAAACAAUACCAUAUAUUAAUUUCAGUAGAUUUCUAAAUGCAAUGGAAAUGUUUUAGAGUUUACCACAUGUAGAUGUACAAAUUUCAUCCAUGUGCUCUUUAAAUUUUGAGUGCUGUGGAGAUGAGGUUGAGAUUGUUCAAAUUACAGUGUAGCCAUCAGGGUAACAUUAACCUUUCAUUGAAAAUAAACAGCCCUGGCUUCAUCUGCUAAGCUUAAACAAACUGUAAUGAACAUUUGUAAACCUGCUGUGUGUCUGCCUUCAAAAAGGAGACUGCAAAAUAGUGACAUGUGAAGACCAAAAGGCUUUUAAAUUGUGCCCAGCCACAAACCAGUGAAUAUUUGGUAACAGCAACAUGGCAUGCAGAUAGCAUAUCAGCCUCUGCUUGUGUCCAGUUUAAAACAAGCCCUUUGAUCAACAGAAUUAACCCAUGAAAAAAAAAAAAAAAAAAGACCCCAUAUGGAGUCAACUGCUGAUACUCAUUACAGAAAUCCUUGAAGAAUGGAGAUUCUGUAACAAGCAGCACUCUGACAGAAAAAAAACCAGAAUAAGUAAAAUGCUUUUAGAUUUUAUUUCUUUACUGCUAUGACUGAAAAGGCUUAACCAAAAGGCAAAAAUAUAUUUUUUUUUUCAAUAUGCAAGACACAUUUUUGUAUAAAAAAUAAUGCACAAACACUUUACUACACACAGAUCCUCCCCUUUUCAAAACUCUGGGUUCUUUUCCCUCUCAGCAACCAGGUUCUGCCCCAGCCCUUUUUCCUUUCAUGAAGUUCGUUCCUCACCUUACAGUACUGCAACCAGAGGGAGACAGGGCAAGGAAAGACUUUUGGUAAACUUACUUCAUUCACCUAUUGGCACAGCAGCUAAGCCACCUGACUUAUUGAAUCACAGAAUUAAGUAGGUUGGGAAAGACUGUUGAGAUUAUCAAGACUUCCGCCUCCUGCUGUUGUUCUUAGAGCAAAAAAGGACUUUAAGAAGUUGGAUACAGACCUUCAGUGAAAGAUACAACUUACCAGGAAAAGGCUUGGCAAUGAUGAGAGAUCAUGGGAGAAUUUUCAAGAGCAAAUCAUGAUGAUUACUACAAGUGCUGGCUUUAUGAUUGCAGGAAAACUUAGAGUCUCCUUUUUACCAACUUGGUGCUUUAUGUUCUAAACUGUACAGGAUUUUUUUCUAUUCCAUUUUAGUGUAUUAAAUAUUCUCUGUGUGUGCACAGCAGAUAACACAAUUUUACACUUCAGCUAACCUGCUUCUUAGAAAAAAAGCUGAAGCAAACAUAGAUCAUCCCUUCAAAUAAACCAUGUAAAUUUUCUUUUCUAGACCACCUAGAAAGAGAACCAUUAGCAUCAGAAUAGUCCAGCUCUGUUUACCUAACAAUGAGAUGGCAAAAACCUUUCAACUGGUCAUGCAUCCAAUACCUGUUCUCCUCCCACUUUUACUACUGAAAAUUAACAUCAGGGCUGCGGAACCAUAAACAUAUUCUGGAAAGCUUAAAAUAUCAAAGACAUUGUUCACAACCCUCUCAACACCUUUUCUUUGUAUCACUCUGCACCUUGUCAGGCUGAGAGCUGAACUCAAAAUGUUUGUUCAGUUAAGGCAAAAAGCCAGAAACCUCAUUGCUUGGGAUUUGGUUCAUGUACACCCAAUCAACAUAAUGAUUUUGUCGAACACUAAUUGCUAGACAAGCACCCUUUUUUGUGGUCAUGGGUCAUACUAGUAUUCCAAAGUAAUAAAACAAACAAUAAAUAAACAUUUAAGAAACAGUUUGGUGCAAUACACAGAGAUCAAAAGCAGAUGUAGGAAAUACGGAGGAUAAUUUCCAAAUUUAAGUUCACUCGUGGAAAGUGCUGAGCUUCUUAAGAACUACAGGUAUGAAAUAUUUCAAUAGAUGAAAUGACACUACUGCUGUCCAAAUUGCACACUGAUAUCCUUGCGCAAAUAAACAUCCAUUCACUUUUCAUGACACAAGGCUCUAUAGCAAAGGAGGGAAUGGAACUUCUGUCCAUGGCUGCUAAGUUUCCAAAGUACUUUUGCAUGAGUACUGCAUGUAUAUAUAUAUAUGUAUAGCUAAACUUAUAUUGCACAGUGAUAAAAAUCUUGCUUGGCUCAUAAAGCACUGCAAAAACUACAGAGGUGCCCAUCACUGCCUAAUUAGCUACAAGAAGUGAUGAAUUCUAAAUUACUUUAUCAAAACAGCCACACUGUAAUUUGUCUGUACUCCCUAAGUGUGGCACUAUGUCACAACUGUCUGCAUGAACGGAUUAUUAUUUUUUUUACAUAAAUACAAAUGUCAGUAAAGAAAAAAGACUAAUGAUUACAUUUUCACCUUUUUCAAUGUCACAUUACAAAGUUUUAGUGGAACAGAGCAGCUGUGUUUACACCUGUACUUAAUGAGGUAAUAGUGAUUAUAUCACAGUGUGUAGAAGUGUGGCCAUUGGUACUUACCAGAUAAAGAAAUGUUCAGAUCACACCAUGGAAUGAUACCAAAUCACCUCUCAAGUCAAUCUUUGUGCACAAGGCAUCAAGUUUUCUUUUGUUUUUUAAGAGUUAAGAUGUUGUAUAUUUGUAAAAGACAUUUUGCACAUAUAUAUUUGCAAAUUAUAAUGAUGCAUACUGCAAGGAAAACUGUACCUGCAACUGGUAACAUAUAGUAUGAGUGAAACAAGGAAAAACUUACCUAUUUGAAAAAAGAACACUUGACAAGCAACACUGUCAAGCUACUUUUGCAUCAGUAACUACUGGAGUUUCCACCAGUUUGCCUCCAACUAGAGUAUCCCCACAAGCUAGUACCUGGAAGUGACACAGGGCUGAUAUCAGCUUCACUUUCUAUCACCUACAACUUUAGAAGUCACAUUUUCAAUUUUAUAUUCACAUCCUUAGACCAUCUAAGAGGUCAGAUAGUUCUGCACUGUGAAGCUCCUGAUGAAAAUGAGAUGUACCAUCAAAAUCACACCUCUGAUUAUGGACAUACCAUGGACAAAAUAUAAGUAUGGAAAAUGUAAUACUGGAAUAUUACUGGGGAGAAAACUGCUUAGAAAUCUAAUUAAAGACAAAUCGUAGAAUGCUACUUAGAAAAUGUUACAUUCUCUGUACAGUGUGGAAACUCCUGUUUUCCUUGACAAAACAAAUUAAGAGUGGCUUCUCAAUCAUAAUAACAAAUAAUGUUGUUAAUCCUGCCAAAUUUUAAAUGAAGAAAGAGUAAGUGUAAUCUAUAAAGGACUGUCAGCAAAAGAAAAUUAGCAAACCUAGAGCAAACCCACCUUCUACCACUAGCUCAGCAAGAGUGGCCAGCCUAGGAGACUGAUUUUCUCCUGGCUCCCAGAGGAGUGGGAAUUCACAUUAUUUGUCUUCUUAGUACAGAGUUUUAAAUCAGACUUUCAUGUUAAAAAUUUCUCUAGCUGUACAUUUGUUUUUUGAGAGGUACUAGGAGAUAAUCUACAAUUCUGACAAAAUGUGGUUGGUAUCCAAGCACCUCCCCAGACACACUGGCAUCUGUUUGCUGCUUCACAGGACAAGAGUUUACACAUAAAAACUGAACAACUUGAUUUAUUUAAAAUUCACCUCAAAAUGCAUUGUGUUUAGUUUCUUUUUUAAAAUGAACAUUCAAAGCAUCAAAAUAUUACUAAUUUUAAAAGAACCUUUGUUAAGAAUAAGAUAAUUUACAUACUGUAGAUUGUGGCUGUGAGGGGACAGAAACAACCGAUGGUAGAUUAGGCACAGUACGAAGGCCAACAUGCCAGAAAACAAUGCAGCUUUAUGCUCAACUUUUAAAUGAUCUGGACAAAAUAAAACAAUUUGGCAGGAAAAUGAAACCAAUCACUUACUUGAGGGCAUUUGUAUAAAACAAAAGUGUUAGUAAGUUUUCUAUCUAGACCUAACUCAUUCACACAUUUAAAGAAUUCUAUCUUCUUCCAAAUAACAAAAAAAUGUUUCUAAACCAAGGCAGAUUAUUAUUUGGAACUGGCAUAGUAAAAUAAAGGAUCACAGUAUGCAGAGCUUAAAAUCCUGUACCAGGAAAGAGCAACAAGUGGUUUACAAGGGGAUCAUUUAGGUAUAUUAUCUAAUUUUUAAAAACAGAGAUAUAAAAUAUCAGUUGCAUAGGGAUUUAAAUAUAAGGCCAAGCAGGAGAUUAAAGUAAAAUAGAGCUCAUAAGAAGGGCACUAUGGUGUUAAAACAUAGUAUUUCCAUUUGAAUUAAUGUCUAAUU